UACGAGGGGGCAAAUGUUGUUCGGAAUCACUGGGCGUAAAGGGAGCGUAGGCGGGUUCUUAAGUAAGGUGUUUAAUCCCGGGGCCCAACCCCGGACCGGCACUUUAAACUGGGAAUCUUGAAUAGUGGAGAGGUCAGUGGAAUUGGGGGUGUAGCGGUGGAAUGCGUAGAGAUCCCCAAGACACCAGUUGCGAAGGCGGCUGACUGGACACAUAUUGACGCUGAGGCUCGAAAGCAUGGGGAGCAACAG
rnacentral:rRNA from 1 species